GGGCCUAUAGCUCAGGGGAUAGAGCACUGGUUUCCGGUACCAGGUGCCUAGGUUCGAAUCCUAGUAGGCCCG
rnacentral:tRNA from 1 species